rnacentral:tRNA from 1 species
GUUUGUGGCUCAGUGGUAGAGCACUUGCCCAGCAUGUGUGAGGCACUGGGUUUGACUCUCAGCACCACA